rnacentral:rRNA from 2 species
GUGACCUCAAAUCAGGUAGGACUACCCGCUGAACUUAAGCAUAUCAAUAAGCGGAGGAAAAGAAACUAACAAGGAUUCCCCUAGUAACUGCGAGUGAAGCGGGAAAAGCUCAAAUUUAAAAUCUGGCAGUCUCUGGCUGUCCGAGUUGUAAUCUAGAGAAGUGUUAUCCGCGCUGGACCGUGUACAAGUCUCCUGGAAUGGAGCGUCAUAGAGGGUGAGAAUCCCGUCUUUGACACGGACUGCCAGGGCUUUGUGAUGCGCUCUCAAAGAGUCGAGUUGUUUGGGAAUGCAGCUCAAAAUGGGUGGUAAAUUCCAUCUAAAGCUAAAUAUUGGCGAGAGACCGAUAGCGAACAAGUACCGUGAGGGAAAGAUGAAAAGAACUUUGGAAAGAGAGUUAAACAGUACGUGAAAUUGCUGAAAGGGAAACGCUUGAAGUCAGUCGCGUUGGCCAGGGAUCAACCUUGCUUUUGCUUGGUGCACUUUCUGGUUGAUGGGUCAGCAUCAAUUUUGACUAUUGGAAAAAGGUCAAGGGAAUGUGGCAUCUUACGGAUGUGU